ACCCCAAGUCUUCACCGUUGCCGAUGUGAAAAAGACGUGCAGGACGUUAAAUCUCUAGUUUUGCUUCCAUUUUACUCUGGUUCCACUGCUUGUCUUCUCUCCAUAGCCUCUGAGUCUCAAACUAGAGAAACCUCAAACCAGUGCUUCCUUCUUCUCUCUCAGACCGGAAGGAUGGAGGCCAGGGGCAGGGGGGGCUGCCGAUUGAGGAGGAGCUUGGUUCCGUCAUCCCGAUGAAGAAAUCGCUGGGGCCGAGGGGGGGCUGAAGCCCCCGCUAGCCCUUGGUUCCGUCCAUGAAUUGUUGUAGAUUUUGAUUUCUGGGAUUUGUGAUUUGUUUUUGGUGUCCUUGAGAAGAACGCUGUUCUUUUGAAGAGCAAAUGAGCAGUCACAAGAUGGUCUAUUGCGAGAGUCUUUCUCAAUUGAUGUCUCUUAGUAUUAAUAAGAACAAUGGUCUCACUGCAGACGGAAUAGAAGCUUUUACCAACUUAAGUAACCUUGUAAAUUUGAAUCUUGAGAGGUGCUCAAGAAUUCAUGGGGGAAUAAUUCAUUUGAGAGGUAUAACUAAACUUAAGUUUCUUUUAUUAAGUACUGUAAUAGUGUGACAGAUGAAGGCAAGUUGCCUCUUUCAGGUUUGCAUGAACUUUCUCAUCUAGACUUGCAAGGAUGCCCUGUGAUUGCUGCUUCAUUUGGAAUUAUCUCAGGUUUCGAUUUAUUCUGAUAUUUUAAUUAUUGGGAGUUUACUCCUGUUGAUUUACCUUUCACUAUUUCAUGAUUCUUUACAACUUAUUUUGAUCCAUUGAAGAAAUUUACCAUUCAAAAUAUAUAUAUUUUAUUUUUACUUGGCAAAGGUGCAAUAUAUUAAUUCAGACAGUUAUAGGUGACUUUUAUUAGUUUACAUGUAGAAAAUGGCACUAAUGAAUGCAUAAUAAAGGAUCUUCAACUGAGACUAUUGAGUAUACUGUAGUAAUUCUGAUUUAAUAUCCCUUCCAUGAUAAAAAAAAAAAAACUUGGUGGCC